GAUGAAGAACGCAGCGAAUUGCGAUAAGUAAUGUGAAUUGCAGAUUUUCAGUGAAUCAUCGAAUCUUUGAACGCACAUUGCGCCCCCCGGCAUUCCGGGGAGCAUGCCUGUUCGAGCGUCUCUUGGAAUACCCCUCACGCCGGCGGAGGCGUGGUCAUGGCGGCGGUGGCGUGCCCCGAGAGGGAGGCCACCGCGCUGGAAUCCAUGGGCGGACGCCUGCCGCGUGGCCGAGCGUGAUAAGACGCACUGGCGCUCGCGCGCGGCGAGGCUGCCGGCCCUGGCCCGCUCGUCGGGCGGGGACAGCAACACUUGGGAACUCCUCGAAUCAGGUAGGGAUACCCGCUGAACUUAAGCAUAUCAAUAAGCGGAGGA
rnacentral:misc_RNA from 1 species